rnacentral:misc_RNA from 1 species
UACCCUUUAUAGGGUAUUUGAUUUCACCCCUAACAUUAGUCAUCUUGACUGCCUGUACAGCUUCAACAACCAUAUUUGCGAAGAAGUCACUAUCAUCUGCUAUCAACUUUGAUGACAUGCUUGUCUUGGCGCAGUUUAUAAGAGAAUCUUUUCCAAGCUUAUCGACCUUAACAGCCAAUUUUUCUUCAACAUAUUUGCAUGCUUCCCUCAUUGCUAGCCUAUAUCCACUGAUGAUCGAGGUUGGGUGAAUUUUGUGUCUCACCAACUCAUUUGCUCCCUUAAGCAAUUCUGCAGCUAUAAUAACAACUGAGGUUGUUCCAUCACCAACUUCUCGAUCUUGGAGUUCAGCCAACUCAACAAGAACCUUGGCAGCUG